rnacentral:rRNA from 1 species
CCUACGGGUGGCUGCAGUCGAGAAUCAUUCACAAUGGGGGAAACCCUGAUGGUGCGACGCCGCGUGGGGGAAUGAAGGUCUUCGGAUUGUAAACCCCUGUCAUGUGGGAGCAAAUUAAAAAGAUAGUACCACAAGAGGAAGAGACGGCUAACUCUGUGCCAGCAGCCGCGGUAAUACAGAGGUCUCAAGCGUUGUUCGGAAUGCCUGGGCGUAAAGCGUGCGUAGGCUGUUUUGUAAGUCGUGUGUGAAAGGUGCGGGCUCAACCCGCGGACGGCACAUGAUACUGCGAGACUAGAGAAAUGGAGGGGGAACCGGAAUGCUCGGUGUAGCAGUGAAAUGCGGAGAUAUCGAGAGGAACACUCGUGGCGAAGGCAGGUUCCUGGGCAUUAACUGACGCUGAGGCACGAAGGCCAGGGGAGCGAAAGGGAUUAGAUACCCUUGUAGUC